AUUGAACGCUGGCGGCAUGCCUUACACAUGCAAGUCGAACGGCAGCAUGGGUGCUUGCACCUGAUGGCGAGUGGCGAACGGGUGAGUAAUGCAUCGGAACGUACCCGGAAGUGGGGGAUAACGUAGCGAAAGUUACGCUAAUACCGCAUAUUCUGUGAGCAGGAAAGCAGGGGACCUUCGGGCCUUGCGCUUUCGGAGCGGCCGAUGUCGGAUUAGCUAGUUGGUGGGGUAAAGGCCUACCAAGGCAACGAUCCGUAGCGGGUCUGAGAGGAUGAUCCGCCACACUGGGACUGAGACACGGCCCAGACUCCUACGGGAGGCAGCAGUGGGGAAUUUUGGACAAUGGGGGCAACCCUGAUCCAGCCAUGCCGCGUGAGUGAAGAAGGCCUUCGGGUUGUAAAGCUCUUUCGGCGGGGAAGAAAUUGCAUCGGCUAAUACCCGGUGUAGAUGACGGUACCCGCAUAAGAAGCACCGGCUAACUACGUGCCAGCCGCCGCCGUAA
rnacentral:rRNA from 1 species